UGGGAUUUGGGGCACUCCCAUCCUUGAGCAUCUUUGGGGUUCACCAUCUCCACAUGGCCCUGGGGUCCCUUUGAGCACGUUGGGGUCUCUGGGGUCCACGGGGUCUCUUUGAGCACCUUGGGGCCUUCAAGGUCUCCUUGAGCCUCUUGGGGUUUCUGUGGGCUCCUUGGGGUCUCCUUGAGAUUCUUGGGGUCUCCAUGGGCUCAUCAGUCUCCUUGAGCAUCUUUUGGGGUCUCCAUGGUGUCUCUUUGAGCACCUUGGGGCCUUCAAGGUCUCCUUGAGCCUCUUGGGGUUUCUGUGGGCUCCUUGGGGUCUCUUUGAGAUUCUUGGGGUCUCCAUGGGCUCAUCAGAGUCUCCUUGAGCAUCUUUUGGGGUCUCCAUGGUGUCUCU
ensembl:lncRNA